rnacentral:rRNA from 1 species
GGAAGGAUCAUUACCGAGUUGAUUCGGGCUCCGGCCCGAUCCUCCCACCCUUUGUGUACCUACCUCUGUUGCUUUGGCGGGCCGCGGUCCUCCGCGGCCGCCCCCCUCCCCGGGGGGGUGGCCAGCGCCCGCCAGAGGACCAUCAAACUCCAGUCAGUAAACGAUGCAGUCUGAAAAACAUUUAAUAAACUAAAACUUUCAACAACGGAUCUCUUGGUUCUGGCAUCGAUGAAGAACGCAGCGAAAUGCGAUAAGUAAUGUGAAUUGCAGAAUUCAGUGAAUCAUCGAAUCUUUGAACGCACAUUGCGCCCUUUGGUAUUCCGAAGGGCAUGCCUGUUCGAGCGUCAUUACAACCCUCAAGCUCUGCUUGGUAUUGGGCACCGUCCUUUGCGGGCGCGCCUCAAAGACCUCGGCGGUGGCGUCUUGCCUCAAGCGUAGUAGAACAUACAUCUCGCUUCGGAGCGCAGGGCGUCGCCCGCCGGACGAACCUUCUGAACUUUUCUCAAGGUUGACCUCGGAUCAGGUAGGGAUACCCGCUGAACUUAA